rnacentral:rRNA from 1 species
CAGCCGCCACGGUAAUACAGAGGGUGCGAGCGUUAAUCGGAUUUACUGGGCGUAAAGCGUGCGUAGGCGGCUUCUUAAGUCGGAUGUGAAAUCCCUGAGCUUAACUUAGGAAUUGCAUUCGAUACUGGGAAGCUAGAGUAUGGGAGAGGAUGGUAGAAUUCCAGGUGUAGCGGUGAAAUGCGUAGAGAUCUGGAGGAAUACCGAUGGCGAAGGCAGCCAUCUGGCCUAAUACUGACGCUGAGGUACGAAAGCAUGGGGAGCAAACAGGAUUAGAUACCCCGGUAGUCCCUGUCUCUUAUAA